UACGUAGGGGGCAAGCGUUGUCCGGAAUCAUUGGGCGUAAAGCGCGCGUAGGCGGUUCGGUAAGUCUGCUGUGAAAGUCCAGGGCUCAACCCUGGGAUGCCGGUGGAUACUGUCGGACUAGAGUACGGAAGAGGCGAGUGGAAUUCCGGGUGUAGCGGUGGAAUGCGUAGAGAUUCGGAAGAACACCGGUGGCGAAGGCGGCCUGCUGGGACAAUGCUGACGCUGAGGCGCGACAGCGUGGGGAGCAAACAGG
rnacentral:rRNA from 1 species